rnacentral:rRNA from 1 species
UACGUAGGGUGCAAGCGUUGUUCGGAAUUAUUGGGCGUAAAGCGCGUGUAGGUGGUUAGGAAAGUUGGAUGUGAAAUCCCUGGGCCCAACCCAGGAAGUGCAUCCAAAACUCCCUAGCUAGAGGACGAGAGAGGGAGGUGGAAUUCCUAGUGUAGAGGUGAAAUUCGUAGAUAUUAGGAGGAAUACCGGUGGCGAAGGCGGCCUCCUGGAUCGUUCCUGACACUGAGACGCGAAAGCGUGGGGAGCAAAC